GGACUACAAGGGUAUCUAAUCCCGUUUGCUCCCCUGGCUUUCGCGCCUCAGCGUCAGUAGAGGUCCAGCGCGCCGCUUUCGCCACCGGUGUUCCUGUGGAUAUCUACGCAUUUCACCGCUCCACCCACAGUUCCGCACGCCCCUACCUCCCUCGAGACAGCCGGUAUCAAAGGCACUUCCACGGUUGAACCGUGGGCUUUCACCCCUGACCUCGCUGCCCGCCUACGCGCCCUUUAAGCCCAGUGAUUCCGAAUAACGUUCGCACGGUUCGUCUUACCGCGGCUGCUGGCAC
rnacentral:rRNA from 1 species